rnacentral:rRNA from 1 species
CCAGACUCCUACGGGAGGCAGCAGUGGGGAAUAUUGGGCAAUGGGCGCAAGCCUGACCCAGCAACGCCGCGUGAAGGAAGAAGGCUUUCGGGUUGUAAACUUCUUUUCUCAGGGACGAAUAGAUGACGGUACCUGAGGAAUAAGCCACGGCUAACUACGUGCCAGCAGCCGCGGUAAUACGUAGGUGGCAAGCGUUAUCCGGAUUUACUGGGUGGAAAGGGGGGGUAGGCGGGGACGCAAGUCAGAUGUGGAAACCACGGGCGCAACCUGUGGCCUGCAUUUGAAGCUGUGUGUCUUGGGUACUGGGGAGGCAGACGGAAUUCCUAGUGGAGCGGGGGA